rnacentral:rRNA from 1 species
CUGGCGGCGUGCCUAAUACAUGCAAGUCGAACGGCUUUUCUAUGGAAGCUUGCUUCCACUGAGAAGAUAGUGGCGAACGGGUGAGUAACACGUGGGUAACCUGCCCAUAAGAGGGGGGAUAACAUCCGGAAACGGGUGCUAAUACCGCAUAGUUUUCUUGAUUGCAUGAUUGAGAAAGGAAAGACGGCCUUUGUGCUGUCGCUUAUGGAUGGACCCGCGGCGUAUUAGUUAGUUGGUGAGGUAACGGCUCACCAAAACGAUGAUACGUAGCCGACCUGAGAGGGUGAUCGGCCACAUUGGGACUGAGACACGGCCCAAACUCCUACGGGAGGCAGCAGUAGGGAAUCUUCCGCAAUGGACGAAAGUCUGACGGAGCAACGCCGCGUGAGUGAAAGAAGGUUUUCGGAUCGUAAAACUCUGUUGUCAGAGAAGAACAAGUUGGAGAGUAACUGCUCCAGCCUUGACGGUAUCUGACCAGAAAGCCACGGCUAACUACGUGCCAGCCGCGGC